rnacentral:rRNA from 1 species
UACAGAGGGUGCGAGCGUUAAUCGGAAUUACUGGGCGUAAAGCGUGCGUAGACGGUUAUUUAAGUCAGGUGUGAAAGCCCCGGGCUCAACCUGGGAAUUGCAUUUGAGACUGAAUAGCUAGGGUGCGGAAGAGGGAAGCGGAAUUUCCGGUGUAGCGGUGAAAUGCGUAGAUAUCGGGAGGAACACCAGUGGCGAAGGCGACUACCUGGCCUGUUCUUGACGCUGAGGCGCGAAAGCUAGGGGAUCAAACAGGGAUUAAGAUACCCUGUA